GCCGCGUCCCCCUUAAAGACACAGCGCUCCAUUCAUGCGCCUGGAGUGGAAAGGGGGGAUGGAAACGUGUGACCUGGUGUUGAAAGGGCUGGGGAGUCACUCCCGAACCGUCCAGGUUCAAGGUGUGUGAUGGCGCAAGUCGUUAGAAGAAAUCCCCUGAACCAAGGUCUGGACAGAUAAAGCUCUGCAGGAUGCAACACAGAGCCACUUUGUUCAGCUGCAAUUUGGAGACAGGGUCAUAUCCGACUUUGGCUAUUUCUGUACAGACCACGGAUCCUUGAAGCAGGACACUCCUCCUUACCAGCAUCUGACUCAACAAACCCACCUGUCCACUUAAUUGGCGGCCACUACCCAGUAACUCCUACUGCCAAUACCAUAAGGUUUGUUUUGAAAACUUUGCAGCUUAUUGUAAUAUUGCUUGUAAUUGUGAAAAUUGAAAACAACG